AGAGUUUGAUCCUGGCUCAGGAUGAACGCUGGCGGCGUGCUUAACACAUGCAAGUCGAGCGAAGCACCUUGACGGAUUUCUUCGGAUUGAAGCCUUGGUGACUGAGCGGCGGACGGGUGAGUAACGCGUGGGUAACCUGCCUCAUACAGGGGGAUAACAGUUGGAAACGGCUGCUAAUACCGCAUAAGCGCACAGUACCGCAUGGUACGGUGUGAAAAACUCCGGUGGUAUGAGAUGGACCCGCGUCUGAUUAGGUAGUUGGUGGGGUAACGGCCUACCAAGCCGACGAUCAGUAGCCGACCUGAGAGGGUGACCGGCCACAUUGGGACUGAGACACGGCCCAAACUCCUACGGGAGGCAGCAGUGGGGAAUAUUGCACAAUGGGGGAAACCCUGAUGCAGCGACGCCGCGUGAGCGAUGAAGUAUUUCGGUAUGUAAAGCUCUAUCAGCAGGGAAGAAAAUGACGGUACCUGACUAAGAAGCCCCGGCUAACUACGUGCCAGCAGCCGCGGUAAUACGUAGGGGGCAAGCGUUAUCCGGAUUUACUGGGUGUAAAGGGAGCGUAGACGGCAUGGCAAGCCAGAUGUGAAAGCCCGGGGCUCAACCCCGGGACUGCAUUUGGAACUGUCAGGCUAGAGUGUCGGAGAGGAAAGCGGAAUUCCUAGUGUAGCGGUGAAAUGCGUAGAUAUUAGGAGGAACACCAGUGGCGAAGGCGGCUUUCUGGACGAUGACUGACGUUGAGGCUCGAAAGCGUGGGGAGCAAACAGGAUUAGAUACCCUGGUAGUCCACGCC
rnacentral:rRNA from 2 species